GUGCCCAUGUCCCCCUCUUAGACGCCUCCAUCCCCCUCACACCCCACCCAGCAUUACGCACCAGAGCCAUCGCAGAACAGAUUGCGGAAUUACCAUUAGAAUAUAAGGAGCCUGGCUGCUGCGGGCGGCAAAUGGAGAAACCGCUGCUGAAUAAGAGGCUACAAAAGGCCUUUGCUCCAUCGCUACAUCCCCAGAGUCCCACAAGAGACUGUUGAAGAUGGCACCUGACGAAGAAAACAACUCUUUGUCAAUGUGCAGAUCUCCAAAGGAAGCGUCCAGUGGAUGCCACCUGCACGAGGGGCGCGCCGAGCGGCGCUCCAGCAAGGCCGCGGAAGCCCGGGGACAGCAGUUAAAGAGCUUAUUUCCCAAAUCUCUUUAUCCUUUCGAGAACUGUGCGAUGUUGACAGAAAGUCAGUUAACUCCAGCCAGUGGCAGCUGCGCAGGGGUUUUGCAUAAUUAAUUAUUUAUACGAAGCCAGACACAGCCAUUACCAUCCAGAUGAAUAUGAUAUUCUAAUCAGGCGCCGCUUUAAUUUUAAUUGCCCUCCAGCAUCUAGCUGUCAGCGCUGGCCUGACUUGAUAAAGUGGAGACUCACAGAACACCAUUAGACAUCUGUUUCAGGACCAUCACCUCAGUUCUCCCACCCCCCCGAACAAAAAAUCAAUACAGGCCCUCUUGCGCCGCCUCCGUCCCUGAGAAAACACAGAACGGACAAACUGCAAGCACGUCUGAUCCCCCAGCUCCACACAGCUGCCGUAUUUUUUUUACUCUGAAAGCAUUGCUGAUGUUGGCUUCAUAAGCUUCUUACACUGCAUAUAUAUUCCACUGGGUAUGUGGUGGAAAAGGUGACAGUAAAGGUUAACAAGGGGAUAUUUUUGGCAAACCUUUUGCAGUGACCAGGAGUGAUUGCACAUAAGUUUUAUUGCCGUACUAUAGCUCUGUUAGAAACAGCAGUACAUUUUAAUGUAAAUCCUAUACUUGUCUUAAAUGAAUUAUUAUUAUUAUUAUUAUUAUUAUUAUUAUUAUUAUUAUUAUUGAAUAACUGAAUGCUCUAUUUUACAUUUACAUUUUACAUUUAUUUGUUUACCAGACACUUUUCUCCAAAGCAACUUCCAAUGAGCUCUGUGUAGUGUUAUCACAGUCAUUUGUAUGGUGGCACAGUGGCACAGCAGGUAGCACUGAUGCCUCAUUGCUCCUUGAUUUUGGCUCUUGGUUUGAAUAUGGCUCAGUCUGUGUGGAGUAUCCAUGUUCUCUUUAUUUUUGUGUCAAUUUCCUCCAGGAAGACUCAUUUUCUUCUACAGUGCAAUGACGUGUAUUUCAGGUGAGUGCGUGUGAGUCAGUAAAUGAGUGUGUGAUUGCCAAGUGAUGCACUGGUGUCUCAUUCAGGCUGUACCCUGCCUCACAGCUUCUGGGAUAGGUUUUGGACCACCACGACCCCUCACUGAAUAAGUGGCUAUUGA
ensembl:lncRNA